UGGCCGUUCCUCUACCACUAACGCUGUUCCUUCCUCCUCUCGAAAGGAGAAGGGUGGCUAGUGCUCUUCAUCGCUUUGCGCCUUUCCGGCGCCUUGGCUUCUCUUGUCCCCGUCCUGGCACUGGCGUUGAUCCGCUCUCGUGCUGCUCUGAACCCGCUAUCUCCUCUUCAUUUCAGUGAGUAGGCGAAAAAGAUGGACUGUAAGGAGUUAUCUUCUGCCAUCCUAACUGAUGAUCUGGUGGUGGAGAUCCUCUCCCGGUUGCCAUUCAAAUCUUUUUCUCGCUUCAAAUGUUUUUGCAAAGCCUGGCUUGAUUUCUCGUUUGAUCCUCACUACUCCCAGAAGCUGCCAAAAGCGCACAAUGGUGGUUUUUUCUACCAAGACCACAACUCUGCUAUCCAGCUUGUUAGUCUCUGCAAGCAUGAUGAAGAGAUUGAUGGGACUCUUAGUUUCUUGCCAGGCUAUGAGCAUCUAGAAUUUGUUGACUGUUGCAACGGCCUAGUCCUUUGUGAGUACAGGAGCAACUACACUUCUGCAGACAUCCUUCGCUUCAUUGUGUGUAAUCCAGCAACACAAGAGUGGACAAUACUCCCUGAUACUCAACGAAACGCAGAUAAAUUUUAUUAUACAGCAAAGUUGUGCUUCGAUCCAUCACAGUCACCGCACUUCUAUGUCUUCAACUUUCACGAGAAGCGUGGUAUUUACAAUUCCGUGCUUGGUGUCAGCCAAGUUGAGAUGUUUUCAUCUUGUAAAUCUACAUGGCUUGUCAAUUCUGAUUUGAGGGAUCCUGAGAAUAAUGAUAUCUCGGUUUGUGGAAGACCACACGUGUUCAUUGAUGGAUUCUUGCAUGUGCAUACAGAUUGUGAUGUUUUGGUAUUGGAUAAAUUAGAGAUAGCAAGCAUGGGCAUACCACCCCGUAAUUGGACCAUUAAGUUGCCAUUCCACAGGGGUGACUGUUUCGUGGAUCGUUGCUUCAGAGGUUGCCUUGGUCAAUAUGCAGGGACCUUACACUACGCAGUGGCAGAGAAGGAUGGUUGCACAAUUCUAAUUUGGAGUCACGAUUAUUUUGAUCCUGGUAUGUGGACUGUAACACAUCGUCUUAGAAUGAGAGAUGCAUUUGGAAGGGAUGACUUUGUUCACUAUGAGGAUGGUUGGAUUUGGACUUGUGAUUAUGAAAUUAUUGCUUUUGACCUGGAGAGGGAGGCCAUUUUCCUUGUGGAUGAAAACACAAACAAACUUCUUUCAUACGGAAUCACUACUGGGGAACUUAAUGAGAUUAAAGAUAGCUCUCACAGGUAUAUAUACUAUGUUCCAUGCUACUUGAAGCUUCCAGACCCAGAACCUGCAUAUGAUGAUGUGAGUGGUCUUUUUACUGUGCCUUUGUGAUUGUCAUCUAUACUGACAGUUGUGUGUGGCACUGUGGCAUUUUCAAACUUAGGUGGUGCCUCUGUUUUAUUAUCGUUGAGAUGGUGCUAGUCUGUGAAGCUAUGCAAUUUAUGAACACAUGAGUCUUGCACUAGUAUGGGAGGUAGGAGCAUAUGUAAUGCUAUCCUAGCUGGAUGUACUAGUCUGGGACGCUUUAUAUGGGGCAUCAUUUCUGUGCCUUCGUGACUGUCAUCUUCAUGAGCAAUCUUGCACUGUACGUUUUAUUAUGAAAAUACAGAGGUUGCUCUCUGUUUGUUGUCUUCCUGUUGUUGCAGGUGCUAUAAAUAGUUGCUAUACGUGUAAUAAAUUGGUGUGAUAGUGUAUAGUGUAAAAACUACUACAGAUUAAGGUUGAGGAUAUUGCUUAAAUCUUUGUUGCUUUUUUAUGCAUUGAGCACAACCAAGAAAUAGAAUUAGCGAGCUCUGUAGCUGCAGAGAAUUUUGACUGACUAAUCAGAAGUUUGGUUAAAAGAGGAUUGGUGAUAGAUAGUCACCAGUAGAAAUAAAUUAAAAUAAAAAAUAAAAGCUUUCUAUUUGUUCCAAGUCCCCAAAUUUCUUUUUUUUUUCUCGAACACGCAGGAGAGCUGCGCAUCUUUGUAUUAAGAGAGGAAAAAGAAUGGUCCAAUUACAAAUCUCAGCACCACACCUUGGACCAGAGUGAGGGCUGUUGUGGUCUCAUAUAUAGGAACAAUAUUACAGAAAAAACACAGUGUAGGACCUGACCACAAAGCACCCCAUCUAACUAAGCCCGAGCGAGCGCCCUGUUUUCCAAGGCAGCAAGCCCUUUUGCUCCACUGAACUGCCAGAGGCAAUGAAAACCGAUGGAUGCUAAGAAGAGAUUCUUUACUGGUUUCCAUUAAUCAACGUAAGCAGAUGGCUACUAAGCUAACUGAUGAUUUUGCUGUCGAAGUCCUCUCUCAAUUACUGUUCAAGGCUUUUUGCCGCUUCAAAUGUGUAUGCAAGGCCUGGCUUGCCUUUUCAUCUGACCCUCAUUACUGCCAGAAGCUGCUCAAAUUUCCACUGGUUUUAUGUACCAUUGCAGCAUUACUAUUGAUGGAGGAAUUGAUGGAACUCUUAAUUUAUCGCCACAGUACCAGCAGCUUCGUUUUGUUGACUGGUCUAAUAGCCAAGUCCUUUUUUUAGUACAGGAGCAAUCUUACUGCUGCAGGCACUUUCAGCUUCAUUGCGGGGACAAGUUUUAUUGUAGAACUAAGUUGUCCUUCGAUCAUGGUAGCCACACUUCUACUUCAACUUCAACUUUUAGCACUAAGCAUCCAGAUUCCACAGACCCAGAACCUGACAUAUGAUGUGGUUAAUGGCCUAUUUCCUGUGAUUGUCAUCUGUAUUGACACUUGUGCGUCACACAUCGACGUUUCGAAACUGUCGAAGGCGCUUCUGUUUAUUAUAUUUCACUAAAAAGUUGGGCGAUACUGUGUAUGGCUGUUUUCUUUUCUGACCUGUAUUCGCUCCACUGAGAGUGUUUACUUGUAAACUUCUCCUUUACUAAUAUUUACUAAUAGAAAUGGCACAUAAUCUUGUGGCAGUUCGUUCAAACAAAAAAAGUUAGUGCUAGCCGGGGAAACUUUGUACCCAGGAGCUUGCUGCAGCUUGACAUCUUCUGUUAUGCUGCCUUCUCUUUUGUGUAACCCCAGACGUUACACUAAACCUUUUUAUUCAGAUAAUCAGAUCCCAUGUAUAAUGCUUAUGAA